rnacentral:rRNA from 1 species
UACGAAGGGGGCUAGCGUUGUUCGGAAUUACUGGGCGUAAAGCGCGUGUAGGCGGGUCUUUAAGUCAGGGGUGAAAUGCCAAGGCUCAACCUUGGAACUGCCUUUGAUACUGGAGACCUUGAGUCCGGGAGAGGUGAGUGGAAUUGCGAGUGUAGAGGUGAAAUUCGUAGAUAUUCGCAAGAACACCAGUGGCGAAGGCAGCCCCCUGGGCCAACACUGACGCUCAGGCACGAAAGCGUGGGGAGCAAACAGG